rnacentral:misc_RNA from 1 species
GGAAAUUCUGCUGGCACUGUCACCACAUUCUAUUUGUCUUCUCAAGGAGCAGGGCAUGAUGAAAUUGAUUUUGAGUUUCUAGGAAAUUCAUCAGGACUACCUUACACGGUUCAUACCAAUGUUUACUCUCAAGGAAAAGGCAAUAAAGAACAACAAUUUCGUCUCUGGUUUGAUCCAACUUCGUCGUUCCACACUUACUCUAUUGUUUGGAACUCUCAACGGAUCAUAUUUUUGGUGGAUAAUAUCCCAAUUAGAGUGUUCAACAACCACGAAGCACUUGGUGUUGCAUACCCAAAGAAUCAAGCAAUGAGAGUUUACGCGAGUCUAUGGAAUGCUGAUGAUUGGGCUACACAAGGAGGACGGGUGAAGACAGAUUGGUCUAUGGCUCCGUUUACAGCUUCUUACAGGAAUUUCAAUACAAAUGCUUGUGUUUGGUCAGCUGCUACGUCUACUUCGUCUUGUGGAGGUUCUAAGACUGAGUCAGUAAACAAUGAUGAGACAUGGCAAACGCAACAACUGAACGCUAAUGGAAGAAAUAGAAUACGAUGGGUUCAGCAGAAGUACAUGAUCUACAAUUACUGUGCAGAUGCUAAUAGGUUCUCUCAAGGCUUUUCUCCUGAAUGCAAGCGUUCAAGGUUCUAAGGCGGAUAUAUAUAGUAUAUGAAUGUAAAAUUAUGUUUGUUUCACUUUUCUAUUCUUUUAAUUUUGAUCAGGUAAAAAAAAGAACAUAGUGUAAUUAUUUGUGUAUGCAAUAUAUUCUUUAUUCUUUUUGUAAUCGUGAAAUAGAAAUAACGAUGAAUCGUUU